CAGCAACGGGCGCAUGCGUGAAAAACUUUUUCGUUUGGCGGUAGUCCAAAAUGAACUCACUCGCCGGUCGUCCGUUCCCAUCACUUGUUAACUCGGACCGGCAUCUGACAUGUCGAGUGUGUCAGACAGCAGAGGAAAUCUCAGCAUCAAAAAUCGCUCAGUUUCUGUGAUUUAUAUCUAAAACGUGGCAACAUAUUUAUUAAUUAAUUAAAAGACCACUUUCAGUUUUUCGGCGUUUCAAUUUCGAUGAAAUUCCUAAGCAUGGAGACAAAUUACUAGAAACUAUCUUCCUCACGAAUUUUAAAAAGACGCUCUUCGGUCAAUCAGGAAUGAGUAUGCCCAUUCUGAACGGAAUAGUUAAGACAUCUUUCAAACAGGCUACCUGCUUUUACCUAGUUUAGUACAAUCAUACGGAAGCAGUUUUAUAUUUCAGAGAAUGAGUGAAGAAAAGCUUGUCGUGUUACAACAUGCUUCACAGUUUUCCAUAAUUCAAGGAAAGGUCUAGCCCUUCUUUCAUAACCAUUCAGCAAUGUACCAAUCAUUCCAAAGACCCUUUGCAAAAAUAAGCAAAUGUUCCAAAAAUGUGUUCUGCUUCAGCUGUUCCGAAGAACUUUUAAGAAUAUAUGUAUUCGAAAAAUGGAAGUAAAAGCACAGCAUCCAGAGGAAUAUCCUUGGG